rnacentral:tRNA from 1 species
UCCCAGGUGGCUCAGAUGGUAAAGAAUUUGCUUGUAAUGCAGGAGACCCAGGUUCGAUCCCUGGAUGGGGAA